AUCUCCCACAUCCACCGUAGAGUGAAGUACAAGGAGGACCACAAAUGUCCUAUUCAUUUUCCUAUUUCACGAGUCACACAUGUUACUCAAUAGGGGGACAGCCAAAUUCAGGGUUCACGAGCACGGCGUGGUUGACGCUCUUAACUUAGCGUGAAGACCACAAUUAUCCCAUUGGAGCCUUUCGAAGUGUUUGUACGGAAAACCAAAAAGUAAACCCCAUCCCCCACCCCUUAGGCCACGCCCUUCCUGCUUCCCCAAUUGUCCCUCUGGCUUUCCAACAGUCCCGACUGGCUAGCUUUAGUUAUGGAGUCAGGAUGUCAUAGUUUUAAACGCCAUGGCACUUCAUGAUUUUUGACUUAGAUUCAGAGAUAUGCAAUCAGAGCAAGUGGAAUCGGUGACGGAUACAAAGGGGGAUGCAUCGGAUUUCAGCUGAAUUGAAGCGACUUCACCAACAAACUCCCUUUUUACAGGGCUUGUGCAGGAAGAACCAGAACUGCCCGACAAACUGGAAAAGGUAUCAAGCUGCUUGCAAGGAGUAAGUGGGAAGACUGUUAGUAGAUUCUUGUAAAGCCUUGGGGACCAACAAUCAGCCUCCAGCAGAUAGAGGUGUGGAGCUGUUUGUGCAGCCCCAAGGAUCUUUCUUUUAAUUGUUUGUUCCUGCACAACAAUCCUAGUUUAGAUGACUUACUAGUUGUCUAAUCACUGAUGUUAUGGCUGUCUGGCAUGAUUCUUUUAUUUAGAAUAGAAUGCUAAGUAAUGUGGAAACUCGGCCAGAUCCACUACUACCAGCAUUGAGAAAACUUUCUGCGUUUGUUGCUUCGAGAGAUCGAUGGUUUGAAGGACUAAAAAAUACAUCAGGUUGCAGAUUCUGGGUAUGGUGAUAUUAUUAGCUAUUUUCUACUUGCUGGAGACAAACGUUUAAUUGACACUUGCAGUUGGUCAACAGCAGUAGAAACUUGUUCCUAGGAAGAAUACCAAUUUUGAGGAGUAAAAUUUUCUGACUAUCCAAUCCAAGGAAAAAAUGUAGUUCGAGCACAAGAAACAGAUGUUUGUGCAGACGGAUCAUCUUCGAGGAUAUAUAGUAGUUGCUGCAAAGGGGCAGUUUGGAUAGAAGAGUGCUCUUCUUCUGAAAAAUACUGGAUAUGAAGAUAAGUAUUAAAUAGAGCAACUUUAACUUAUAUUACACAAAAACAAGUCCUUGUUUCA